GUUCAACAGCCAUCUGAAGCCCACCUGCGAGCUGGUCCAGGAAAUGAUGGACUCUGAUUUCCACACCUCUUUCCUGUGAACUUGUCUCCAAUUUAGUCUGUCAAGGUCCCUUUCUUGUGAGUUAAUUUCUCCCUAGUGCUACUUCUCAGAUUGGCCAGUGACUCACAGAGUGGCACAAGUACAAAUCCAGCCUGACUUGCAUCCAACUCAGAUUCCAGGACCACUGAAACCAGCUGAGGCAUCCUGAAAGCCUAAGAUUGACCACACCAGAGGAACCAGACUGCCAUUCACAAGGAUGGAAAUUAUCUGGUCCCACCCCUGGAUAUGAUCAACCUUCAUAGACUGUGCAUUAUACAUGUAGCCAUCUCUGCGACCUGCAAAGAUGAAAAGGGAAAGCAGGAGAUGGAAACUGGUCAGCAGCCUUCUGGUUUAUCAGCCACACUUACAAAGGUCAAAUGUGCAAAGCGUCAGAAGACAGUGGUUAGAGUGAGAUUCUACAUGCUCUCAAUGAAGAAUAAAGGUAAGUUCAAUAUUUCAUGAAACAAAAAGUUUUUUAAGUUAUUAUAAAGGAAUGUUUCCAUAGCUA
rnacentral:lncRNA from 1 species